GAUGAACGCUGGCGGCGUGCUUAACACAUGCAAGUCGAACGGGAAAUAUUUCAUUGAGACUUCGGUGGAUUUGAUCUAUUUCUAGUGGCGGACGGGUGAGUAACGCGUGGGUAACCUGCCUUAUACAGGGGGAUAACAGUCAGAAAUGGCUGCUAAUACCGCAUAAGCGCACAGAGCUGCAUGGCUCAGUGUGAAAAACUCCGGUGGUAUAAGAUGGACCCGCGUUGGAUUAGCUGGUUGGUGGGGUAACGGCCCACCAAGGCGACGAUCCAUAGCCGGCCUGAGGGGGUGAACGGCCACAUUGGGACUGAGACACGGCCCAGACUCCUACGGGAGGCAGCAGUGGGGAAUAUUGCACAAUGGGGGAAACCCUGAUGCAGCGACGCCGCGUGAAGGAAGAAGUAUCUCGGUAUGUAAACUUCUAUCAGCAGGGAAGAUAGUGACG
rnacentral:rRNA from 1 species